CACUAAGGCAGAAGCGUGGGUAGCAAACGGGAUUAGAUACCCCGGUAGUCCACGCCGUAAACUAUGGAUGCUAGCUGUUAGAGGUAUCGACCCCUCUAGUAGCGAAGCUAACGCGUUAAGCAUCCCGCCUGUGGAGUACGGUCGCAAGACUAAAACAUAAAGGAAUUGACGGGGACCCGCACAAGUGGUGGAGCGUGUUGUUUAAUUCGAUGGUAAACGAAGAACCUUACCCAGGUUUGACAUCCUUGGAAUUUUGCCGAAAGGCGAGAGUGCUUUAUUGAGCCAAGUGACAGGUGAUGCAUGGCCGUCGUCAGCUCGUGUCGUGAGAUGUUUGGUUAAGUCCAUCAACGAGCGCAACCCUUAUAGUCUGUUGUAUUUCUCAGGCUAGACUGCCCUGGUAACAGGGAGGAAGGGGGGGAUGAUGUCAGGUCAGUAUUUCCCUUACAUCUGGGGCUACAAACACGCUACAAUGGCCGGUACAAAGGGCUGCCAAGUCGCGAGACGGAGCAAAUCCCAUCAAAGCCGGUCUCAGUUCGGAUAGCAGGCUGAAACUCGCCUGCUUGAAGUCGGAAUCGCUAGUAACGGUAGGUCAGCUAUACUACCGUGAAUACGUUCCCGGGUCUUGUACACACCGCCCGUCAAACCAUGAAAGUCGCCAAUACCUGACGUGUGAGCCUCGC
rnacentral:rRNA from 1 species